rnacentral:rRNA from 1 species
GACGAACGCUGGCGGCGUGCUUAACACAUGCAAGUCGAACGCUGAAGCUCAGCUUGCUGGGUGGAUGAGUGGCGAACGGGUGAGUAACACGUGAGUAACCUGCCCUCUUCUUUGGGAUAACGCCCGUAAACGGGUGCUAAUACUGGAUAUUCACUGAUUCUCGCAUGGGGGUUGGUGGAAAGGUUUGUUCUGGUGGGGGAUGGGCUCGGGGCCUAUCAGCUUGUUGGUGGGGUGAUGGUCUACAAAGGCUUGGACGGGUAGCUGGCCUGAGAGGGUGACCGGUCACAUUGGGAGUGGUACAAGGACCAGAAUGUAACGGGAGGCAGCAGUGGGGAAUAAUGAACACGGAGCGAAAGCCUGAUGCAGCGACGCCGCGUGAGGGAUGGAGGCCUUCGGGUUUUAAACCUCUUUCGCUCAUGGUCAAGCCGCAGCUUUGGGUUGUGGUGAGGGUAGUGGGUAAAGAAGCGCCGGCUAACUACGUG